CAUUCACUCGCCAAGAGAUUCACAGACUCCCCCCUCGGGGAGGGAGAGAGAGAAGGGAAAGCCGGAUUCUGUACUUAUCGGAAGAGACCCAGGAAAAACAUAGCGAGAUGGAGAAAAGGAUCAGCAACAUUCUGGGAAUCCACUGUCCUUAUUUCAGUUAGGGUCUGAGAUCCAUUCACAGGUUGGACCUGAAUCAAAAUAAUCCACAUCUAACCAGGCUUCAUUUUCAGCUUCAGCGCGAACUUGGGCCGUCUUCAGACCGCAGAAGGCGAAUGAUUGGUUGGUCUCAGUGAGAACAUCCAAUUAAAGGGCACCGUCACCAGUUUCCGGGAGAAUCACUCCGAGACCAGGCUGCAAAACAGGAACUCAACAAUGAGCCGUCCUCUCCCCGGAGGGUCUCGAAAAGCAGUGUAACUGGGCCGUUUGGCAUGGAGAGGUAUUUACCCCUUCCUGCUAUUCUCGAUCUUCCCAAACUACCAUUAAUUCACUGAAGGCCUUCACUUUCUCGGAUUCACUGCCCUCACGGCAGUGACAGCCUGUAAUGUUUAUCUGCAAAUAACAUGCUGUAAUAAUUAUUGUUAGCUUCUGUACGUCAGGACAACAGGGUGGUCACGGACUGAGGAGGAACUGAAUUAACUUUCAUCACAACGCCUGGUAACGACAUUAAGUACCCGACAAUCGGAGGCAUUCAUGUGUCCGGCCUCAAGCUUUGCCAUUCGUAUUUAGUGCAGCAUGUACCCCUCAGCGUGUCAUGCUAUAAAAGGCCAGAUGGAGACUGACAACUUUCGACCAGUGGGUUAUCAGCCACGAUACGGCGAUGGCAUUACCAGGUCAUCGCAUACACUGACAUCCUCACUGACUGCCUAUCAAUGGAAUGGGAGAGAUCACCAAAAUCUCCAUGAAGUGGAAGAAUGAAGGGGAGUGUGGGAAUGAGGAUUUCGUGCGCAAUCCCGAUUCUGCCUGAAGGACAGAACAUUUGGAAUGAUGGAGAAACGAUUGGAAGCUGUAGAGCUACAUUCUCCUGCGUGUGACUCAGAGUGACGCACAUCAGUUUUCUUGUAAUACAGUGCCUCAGUCACCACUAUUUUAUUCUCCACGUCCCGAACUCCACUCUCCCAGUAUCUCUCCUUCCAAACCUCACUCUCCACUCCCUCAUCCCCCAUUCCUUUCCCUCAUCUCCUUCACACUUGACUCCCCCUGCUCUGUGCUGUGUGAGUCUGGUUAGUUAAUGCUGAGGGUAAUUGAUUCCUGAGACCAGUGAGUAAUGGAAAAUAUCUCAUACUGUCUAAUUUUAUAUUUUAUUCCACUUCUCACAUUCUGGUUUUAUUUUCUCAGCUUCUGAUGUGUCUGUUCCAGCUUCUUCAUGAUCCAGUAAGUGACAGGUCAACUUCUGUCUGCAGACUUUUUGUGGCAUUUUCACUCCCCUCCUGACCCUGUCUCGCCCUCCCAGACACUGUUAAAACUUGUCAGACUAAUUUCACUCCGCUCCCUACCCUGAAAUGAUUGUCUUGUUUCAGUCUAUUCCUAACCUUGUGGGUUUCUUAGAGCCUUAUAGAGGAAUAACAGGAUUCUCCUGUUCUAGUGUGAACACUGACAUCACCGUCCAUCCUUAAAUAUCACAGCAGACACACAGAAUUACAGCUCAUUGUUCAUACUCAGUUCUUUCAGGAUUGAGACCUAUUUUUCCUGGGAAUGUAUUUCCGUAGAUUGAACAGUGUUUCCCAGACCUGCAGGUAUGGAACCUAAUUGUUCAAGUGUGAUCUUCUCAAGUCACGCUCCCAACCUGCCUCAGAAAUGCGAGCAGAAUCACCGUCAGAGGGAUCUGCACAGAUGGCUUCUGCCUCACACUUUUUCAUCUUCACUGUAUUCAGUGGCUCCAUGAUUUAGCUGAAAUGAAGCAAUGUCCUGAGGCAACUCAGAAGCAUUUUUUUUAUAGUAGGAAACUGAUUGAUUUUGUACUUUGUGCAACAAAUCUGAACUCUUAUUUUUAUAUAGGUAUGAUUUUUAUAACUGUGAUAAAGAGACAAAUAUCGUUAACAAUUUAUUAUCAAUGUUUAAUUG